AGCGAACGCUGGCGGCAGGCUUAACACAUGCAAGUCGAGCGGGCACUUCGGUGUCAGCGGCAGACGGGUGAGUAACACGUGGGAACGUACCCCUUGGUUCGGAAUAACGCUGGGAAACUAGCGCUAAUACCGGAUACGCCCUUUUGGGGAAAGGCUUGCUGCCGAAGGAUCGGCCCGCGUCUGAUUAGCUAGUUGGUGGGGUAAUGGCCUACCAAGGCGACGAUCAGUAGCUGGUCUGAGAGGAUGAUCAGCCACACUGGGACUGAGACACGGCCCAGACUCCUACGGGAGGCAGCAGUGGGGAAUAUUGGACAAUGGGCGCAAGCCUGAUCCAGCCAUGCCGCGUGAGUGAUGAAGGCCUUAGGGUUGUAAAGCUCUUUUGUCCGGGACGAUAAUGACGGUACCGGAAGAAUAAGCCCCGGCUAACUUCGUG
rnacentral:rRNA from 1 species